CCAAUAGCGUAUAUUAAAGUUGUUGCAGUUAAAAAGCUCGUAGUUGAACUUCGGGAUUCACCCAUUGGUCAGGCUUAAUUGUCUGUACUGGUGAGAUGAGUCUCUACCUUCUGAGGAACUUUCAUGCCAUUUGUUUGGUGUGAUUGGAAAUCAGGACUGUUACUUUGAAAAAAUUAGAGUGUUUAAAGCAGGCUAACGUCUGAAUACAUUAGCAUGGAAUAAUGAAAUAGGACGGAUUGAUUCUAUUUCGUUGGUUUCUAGGGUCACCGUAAUGAUUAAUAGGGAUAGUUAGGGGCAUUAGUAUUCAAUUGUCAGAGGUGAAAUUCUUGGAUUUAUUGAAGACUAACUACUGCGAAAGCAUUUGCCAAGGAUGUUUUCAUUAAUCAAGAACGAAAGUUAGGGGAUCGAAGACGAUCAGAUACCGUCGUAGUCUUAACCAUAAACUAUGCCGACUAGGGAUCGGACGAAGUUAAUUUUAUAAUGACGCGUUCGGCACCUUACG
rnacentral:misc_RNA from 1 species